GCUGGCUGAUAGCUCAGUUGGUUAGAGCUUGGUGUUGAUAACGCCAAGGUUGCAAGUUCGAUCCCCGUAUGGGUUGACUGCA